rnacentral:rRNA from 1 species
UGAGGAAUAUUGGGCAAUGGGCGAAAGCCUGACCCAGCAACGCCGCGUGAGGGAAGAAGGUUUUCGGAUUGUAAACCUCUGUCCUAAGGGACGAAGGAAGUGGCGGUACCUUAGGAGGAAGCCCCGGCUAACUACGUGCCAGCAGCCGCGGUAAUACGUAGGUGGCGAGCGUUAUCCGGAUUUACUGGGUGUAAAGGGUGAGUAGGCGGGAAGGCAAGUCAGAUGUGAAAUGCAAUGGCUCAACCAUUGAAUUGCAUUUGAAACUGUUUUUCUUGAGAGUCGGAGAGGUAAUCGGAAUUCCUAGUGUAGCGGUGAAAUGCGUAGAGAUUAGGAGGAACACCAGUGGCGAAGGCGGAUUACUGGACGACAACUGACGCUGAGACACGAAAGCGUGGGGAGCAAACAGGAUUAGAUACCCUGGUAGU